GUCUGAGUGGCCGAGUGGUUAAGGCGAUGCCCUGCUAUUAAUAUAUUUUCAUAGAUAGCCAGGCAUUGGGUUUUACCUUCGCAGGUUCGAAUCCUGUCUCCGACG
rnacentral:tRNA from 1 species